CCAACACCAAAGGGUGUGUCAUAAUUUAUUUACAACUUCCUAGGUCAAAGGUCAAGGUCAAAAACUUUGGUUUCAGUUGACAACCCCAUGUCCUAUGGUAAAGAUCGUGUCCGCUCUAUAUCUUGAGAACCGUUAUCAUUUCAAAGUUUAUACUUGACAUGUUUAUAAACCAACACCAAAGGGUGUGUCAUAAUUUAUUUACAACUUCCUAUGUCAAAGGUCAAGGUCAAAAACUUUGAUUUCAGUUGACAAACCCAUAUCCUAUGGUAAAGAUACAAUUUUUUAAUGCACAUUAUUCACAGCGGGGCCCACAGAGAUGGCUCCCAUCUCAAUGAUAUCUAGUUACCAUU
rnacentral:lncRNA from 1 species